UUCCGGUUGAUCCUGCCGGACCCUACUGCUAUCGGGGUGGGACUAAGACAUGCAAGUCGUGCGUCUCUAAGCCAUGGUAGAGACGCGGCGUACGGCUCAGUAACACGUGGCUAACCUACCCUUAGGACGGAGGCAACCCCGGGAAACUGGGGCUAAUAUUCGAUAGGUGAGGAGGCCUGGAAUGGUUCUUCGCUGAAAAGGUGUUGGAACCAUGCUUUUCAACGUCGCCUAAGGAUGGGGCCGCGCCCGAUCAGGUUGUUGGUGGGGUAACGGCUCACCAAGCCUAUAACCGGUACGGGCCGUGAGAGCGGGAGCCCGGAGAUGGGCACUGAGAUAAGGGCCCAGGCCCUACGGGGCGCAGCAGUUGCGAAAACUCCGCAAUGCGCGAAAGCGUGACGGGGCUACCCCGAGUGCCGUCCGCUGAGGACGGCUUUUCCACGGUGUAAGGAGCCGUGGGAAUAAGGAGAGGGCAAGACUGGUGUCAGCCGCCGCGGUAAUACCAGCUCUCCGAGUGGUGGGGACGAUUAUUGGGCUUAAAGCGUUCGUAGCCGGUCCGGCAAGUCUUCCGUUAAAUCCAGCGAUCUAAUCGUUGGACUGCGGGAGAUACUGUUGGGCUAGGGGGCGGGAGAAGCCGACGGUAUUCUCGGGGUAGGGGUGAAAUCCUAUAAUCCCUGGAAGACCACCAGUGGCGAAGGCGGUCGGCUAGAACGCGCCCGACGGUGAGGGACGAAAGCUGGGGGAGCGAACCGGAUUAGAUACCCGGGUAGUCCCAGCUGUAAACGAUGCGGGCUAGGUGUUGGGGCGGCCACGAGCCGCUUCAGUGCCGCACGGAAGCAAUUAAGCCCGCCGCCUGGGGAGUACGGCCGCAAGGCUGAAACUUAAAGGAAUUGGCGGGGGAGCA
rnacentral:rRNA from 1 species